rnacentral:misc_RNA from 1 species
AGCCGGGAUUUAGAGCGCUAAGUGACAAGUGAAGACUUUAAGUGACGGUUUAUUCGUGAAAGUGAUAUCUCAGAACAAUGGCUGACUACAAUGCAGGAGAAGCAGAUGCAAAUACCUGAGUUAAAAGACGAGCUGAGAAGACGACGGUUGAGAUUAGCGGGCAGAAAGCACGAGCUGGUAGCGCGAUUGCUGGCUGCGUUUCGCUUAGAGCGGGAACAUAGUG